AUUGAACGCUGGCGGCAUGCUUUACACAUGCCAGUCGAACGGCAGCGGGGUAGUGCCUGCACUACUGCCGGCGAGUGGCGAACGGGUGAGUAAUAUAUCGGAACGUACCGAGUAAUGGGGGAUAACCAAUCGAAAGAUUGGCUAAUACCGCAUACGUCCUGAGGGAGAAAGCGGGGGAUCGCAAGACCUCGCGUUAUUCGAGCGGCCGAUAACUGAUUAGCUAGUUGGUGGGGUAAAGGCCUACCAAGGCGACGAUCAGUAGCGGGUCUGAGAGGACGAUCCGCCACACUGGGACUGAGACACGGCCCAGACUCCUACGGGAGGCAGCAGUGGGGAAUUUUGGACAAUGGGGGCAACCCUGAUCCAGCCAUGCCGCGUGUAUGAAGAAGGCCUUCGGGUUGUAAAGUACUUUUGUUAGGGAAGAAAAGGGAGGUGCUAAUACCACUUUUUGCUGACGGUACCUAAAGAAUAAGCACCGGCUAACUACGUG
rnacentral:rRNA from 1 species